AACCACAAGUCUCUUCUCCAAGUUCAUGAUUUUCUUUUCAAAACAGAUCAUUGCUAAUGCAAUUUUGUCUUCCUUGAACUAGUUUUUUUUCCUCCUUGCUUACAGAAAAGUAUAAGUGAGAUUUUGAUUUCUGUGCUUAUUCCAGAGAUCACUUUGGAUGCAAGGAGUCAAGUUUUGAUGAAUAUGUUUACAUCCUAAUUUUAUGUCUUAAAAAAUCUAUCCCAUCUCAUCUACCGCAGUUACUAAGAUUUCAUGAUCAUUACUUUUAACAUAGCAUGUCUUAUAUCACAUAAAUUCUUUUUGUAUGAGUCCAUCACUUUAUUUUGAAUGAUGAAGCAGUCCUGCAUCAAUUACGAGAAUAAUGACACAGAGAAGGAAGCGAGCUGUGGUGACUUCUGAAAGGUCCUUUUAAAGAACUUAUUAAAACACAGUUGUUCUUCUCAGACAGACACAGUUGAAGUCAUUAUUAAGUAGCCUCAGUACUGUAGCCACUCUUCUACAGUUCACAGAUUCUGGUUGAUGAUGUCAUGACAGAAGAAAAUGCAAAACAGGCAGGCUUAAAUCAGCUUCCUGCUGAGCAUCACACAACUGAGGCCUGAGACAGGGUGCAUCUGGGCCAUGGCUUUGCAGACCACUCUGGACGCAGUGCGGCUGGGGGUCCUCCUCAGCUCUUUCUGGAAGGUUGUGGAGAGCAAGGACCAAAUAUCUCAGCCUGCCACUGUGAUGUCUUCGGAGGGAGCCGUGGCCGAAAUCUCCUGCAAUCACUCUAUAUCCAAUGCUUACAGCUUCUUCUGGUACCUUUACUUCCCGGGAUGUGCACCAAGGCUCCUCAUCAAGGGCUCAAGUCCUUCUCAGCAGGGACGCUACAACAUGACACAUGAGCGGUUCUCUUCAUCACUGCUCAUCCUUCAGGUGCAGGUGGCAGAUGCUGCUGUUUACUACUGUGCUCUGGAGGACACAGAGGCAGAGAGCCCGUAACAAGCUGAACAGAAACAGGGAGAGAACACAGCCUUUGCAGGAGGCAGAAAAGAGAUGAGCAAUAACCACACCUCCCACCCCCAAUUCAGCAUUCCCCAAGCUUUUCCAUUUGGCACUGCCAUCAGAAAAAAAAACUUUGAGUCCAGACACACUCUAUAUGAGUAAAUGUACAUAGGGAAAUUUGCUUUUAGGGAGUGAUUCAGUAAUGGCCCUGUAAAUCCAUGUUUUAAAUAGUCUUGAUAACUGGAACAAUUUUGACCCAUUUCUUUUUUGAAAUUGGAGUUGAUUUCUUGCUUUCCCUUGGAAAGCGGCUGAUGAUGAACUUGUGAUAGGAGGAAGAGUCAUGUCCACUCUGCAAUUUUCUUCUUGCUUUCUGGGUUUGUAUUUUAAAUAUUAUGUGCCCGCUUUAGUCUCUUUUCAAGCCAUGUAUCUGUUUUGUAAAGGAUACUUUAGUUGACAUUGGGUAACAGAGUAAGGUGAAAGGAAAUGAAUGCACCAACACCCCCGAGCUUCAAUCCUUCUCUCAGGAUAUCUUAAUUAUGAUAAUCUAAUAUACAGACCCACUGAGGAUGCUAGUGUCAGUCAGUAUAUAUACAUAUAUUUUUUGCUUUUUAGGGCUGCACCCAUGGCAUAUGACAGUUUCCAGGCUAGAGGUCGAAUGGAACUACAGCUGCCAGCCUAUGCCACAGCAAUGC